rnacentral:lncRNA from 1 species
GACACAACAUCUUUGUUUGUAUGUGGUGCUGAGGAUCCAACCUGGGCUGAACGCAUGCCAGGGGAGCGCGCUACCGCUUGAGCCACAUCUCCAGCCCAAAAUAAUAUUUUUUAAAAAGUCCUUAUCAGGACUGGGUUUAUCUCAGUGGUAGAGCACUUACUUACCUAGCAUGCACAAGGCCAUUAUAUCCCCAGCAUGCAAAAAGUAAAAAAAUGUAGGUUUUAGUGGUUGGGGGUACAAUUGGUGGUAAAGCACUUGUCUAGCAUGUGUUGGAAUAUUUAUGGAUGAAAGGAUAUGAUGUCUAGAACCAUUUUAACCUGAUCCUUUAGAAAUGCAGAAAGAAAGUAGGGGGUGGAGCAUAAGGUAUAGAUGACUGACUUCCCCCCUUCCCCCAGUACUGGGGAUCAAAUCCAGGGCUUCGGAAGCUAGGCAAGCACUCCACCACUGAGCUGUAUCCCUAACCCCAGACUGGCAUUAUUUAUGUUGAUGAUUAUUGAAAUUGAGUUAUAAUGUACAUGGUGAUUCACCAUACUACCCUUACUUUUGGAAAUUUGGGUAAAAAGGAAAAAAGAACCAGCGGCAGGAGGAUCAGAGUUCAAAGCCAGCCUCAGCAACAGCGAGGCGCUAAGCAACUCAGUGAGACCCUGUCUCUAAAUAAAAUACAAAAAAGGGCUGGGAUGUGGGUCAGUGGUCAAGUGCCCCUGAGUUAAAUUCCCAGUACAAAAAAAAAUGGGAAGAGGAAAGAUAAAUGGGAACCAGCAAUCAGAUCCUUAUUAAUGGACUUUUGAAUUUCUUUUGUAGUACUGGAAAGUGAACCCAGGGGUGCUCUACCACUGAAUCACAUCCCCAGCCGUUUAUAAAUUUUAACACAUUUUAAAAAUACCUUUAUUUAUUUAAUUUUAUGUUGUGCUGAGGAUUUAACCCAGUUCCUCACACAUGUGAGGCAAGCUACAUCCCCAGCCCCAAUUUUUUUUUAAAUUAUUUAAAUUUUGCAGUGCUGGGGAUUGAACCCAGAGGCACACUACCACUGAGUUACAUUGCUAACCCUUUUCAAUUUUUGCAUCAGGGUCUUGCUAGAUUGCCCAAACUGGUCUGCAACUUGCGAUCCUUCUACUUCAGCCUUCAGAGCAGCUGGGAUUACAGAUGUACAUCAUCGUUCUUGACUAAGCAGCAAUUUUAGAAGAUUUUAAAUAACCAGAUUUUCUUUUUUUUGAGAGAGAAAGAAUUUUUAAAAUAUUUAUUUUUUAGUUUUCAGCGGACACAACAUCUUUGUUUAUAUGUGGUGCUGGGGAUCGAACCCGGGCUGCACGCAUGCCAGCCGAGCACACUACCGCUUGAGCCACAUCCCCAGCCCCCCAAAACAACCACAUUUUCAUGUCCCCAAAUAACUGAAGUAUAAAUAGUUUAAUCUUGUAUCUUAUUUCCACUGGAGAGUCUUUGUUUAAUGAUGAAUACCUUUUUGGAAUAGCUGAGUCUGACACUCUUAAAACACUAGAGCAUAUGAGGAUUUUCAAUUUUACUAUGAUUUUUUUUUUUUUUUUUGGUGGUGGUACUAGGGAUUGAACCCUCAGCCUUGUGCAUGUGAGGCAAGCACUCUGUCAACUGAGCUGUAUCCCCAGUCCUUACUAGGAUUUAGUGUCCCUUUUUAUUACAGAAGUUUUACACAAAUAGACCUUGUUUGUAUCUGAAUAGAAAUUAGGGUGCAGCUAUAGAAUGAACACUAGCUGCCACUCACCACUAGAGGGAUCCUCUGACCAGAAAAGGGUAUCUACUGCACUCCCUUGACAGCUGUAAACUGAAGAGGGAAUGUUAAGGUCAGGGUAGCAUAAAUAAAAAAAAAUAAAAACCAUGUAUGCUUAAAAUACAUUUAGAUACAAUUCCUGUUAGCAAAAACUGCUUUCUUUUUAUCCAGAUUAAAUGAGGGCUGAACCUGUGAGUUAAAGUCAAAAUUAAACCAAGAAUCCCUAAUUCCUCUUCCAAUCCAAUGAUUCCAUCACAUGGUUUUAGUUUUUUUUGCAGUACUGAGGAUUGAACCUAGGGCCUCACACAUGCUAGCCAAGUGGUCUAUCACUGAGUUAACAUCCUCUGCCCUUUUUAUUUUCUAGAGACAAGGUCUCCCUAAAAGUUCCAGCUGUCCUGGAACUUUUGAUCUUCCUGCUUUAGCUUCCCAAAUUGCUGGGAUUACAGGUGUGCACCACUGUACCCAGACCCAUCAAGUUUUAUUUAUUUAAGAAUUUAACCUGGGGCUCGGGAUGUGGCUCAAGUGGUAGUGCACUCGCCUAGCAUGCAAGCCCUGGGUUCAAUCCUCAGCACCACAUAAAAAUAAAUAUAUUGUGUCCAUCUAAAACUAAAAAA